rnacentral:rRNA from 1 species
UACAGAGGUCUCAAGCGUUGUUCGGAUUCAUUGGGCGUAAAGGGUGCGUAGGCGGUUCGUUAAGUCUGUUGUGAAAUCCCCGGGCUCAACCUGGGAAUGGCAAUGGAUACUGGCGGGCUAGAGUGUGUCAGAGGAUGGUGGAAUUCCCGGUGUAGCGGUGAAAUGCGUAGAGAUCGGGAGGAACAUCAGUGGCGAAGGCGGCCAUCUGGGACAACACUGACGCUGAAGCACGAAGGCGUGGGGAGCAAACAGG